UGACACCAAAGCUAGCGGUAAAUAUAUAAUUCUCCCACUCUUCAUCUAUCAUACUAUUAUUCUUGCAGGUUUUUUCGAUUUAUUGUGGAUGCAAGAUAUUAAUGAAUAUAUGGAUUUUAUUUAUUUUAUGUUAUUAAUAUGUAUCUUGAAAUCACGAUGAUCCGAAUCUAAAUAUGAUUAAUAUUGGUUCUGAAAUCUGGGUGACA
rnacentral:misc_RNA from 1 species